GUAACCUGGAAGAGAGCACAGAGUUUUGUGAGAGACAGACAGCACUGUGCUGUGUCACUUGUCAGAGGCGACAUCACUGCAUCCCAUCCUGUGUCAAAAAUAGCAUUAUGCUCCCCAUGUCCUGACCUCACUAUACCACAUGCUGGAGGCAGCAUCAACUACUUGUGCACACCAUGCAGGAUUAAAUCCUUCACUCUAACAGAAGUGGCACCUUGUUGGCAAGUUGGACCUUCUUUUAAAAAGGGUUUUUUUUGAACGACUGAGGAGAAAGAGAGCCUUACAACACAGCUCAUGUACCUAUCAUUCAGGCUAAGGCCUGAGUGAACAGUUCUCUUUGGGAGAGACCAUCCAAUCCAGCCAAUGUCCUCUGCUGCCACACAGAUAGUAAUGCAACUUGCAGGCCAUUUAAAAGGAGGAUGGGAAAGACUAAUGGUGUCUACAGCAUGACCUUCUGGCAAGCCAGAGGUAUAGGAUUUCUUAUGGGGGGUCAGAGUCAACUGACCUCAACAAAUCUGGUUUAUGGCAGAGAUGGAAACGCUGUUAUCAGAGAUUGGAGGAUAUCCACAAUUCUAAUAUGCACUUAUACUAUAUUAAGUACAAGUGAUCUGUUUUACAGUCUCUUGCCAGGUUCUAUUAAAAGAAUAAUUUUAUUACAAAGGCACAUAGUAAUUCAUGUUACAUCACAUCUUUAUAAAAUCCUAGAGAUUAUGGAGAUUUUCUUGUUAUAUAAAAACAAAAUCCGAUCAAACUUCAUAGACUAACCAAAUAAUAUAUAUGUUGCAUAUUGGUCUAUCUACACUCAACUUCCUUUAAAUUUAACAGGAUUCUAACCAAAUGUACAAUACUUUUAGUAUUUUAAUAAUUCUGAAAAUCUCAGAAAGAGAAUGCAACAAAUAAUCCUGGCACAACAUUAAGUAGACUUUAAACUACUGUACACAUUGAUCAAUUCUGCAUUAGGAAUCAGAGGUAGGUUUCAUGGUGGGCAGCUAAAUGUACAGCAGUGGUAAAAUAAGAUGUUAUACAAUACAUAAAAUAUGGGAGGUGAAAAUGCAGAAAAUGUCAUUAUAUGAAAUGACAUUAGAUCCUCACCUUGCACUACGUUUAGUUGGCCAACUUAUCUCAAACAAGACAUAGCAGAAAUAGAAAAGAGCCAAUGGGAAUGGAAUGAGGAGACAUCAGGGUUGGAGAUUUUUAUAUGAAACAAGAUUAAAAUGAUUAGGACUAAAGUUUGGAAAAGUAAGGAAAUAUGUUGUCUGCCAGUUGGGCUCCUAUUUAUCAUGUACAAGAAGACAAGGGCAUUAUGAAAACAGAAAGGCAAAAAAGCACCUAGUGUAUUUUAAAAAAAAACAACACACAACCAAACUUGUAACUAAUGAGCCAUGUGCCAUUUGGAUACACAAAAUACCAAAACAGACUAUAUAUUCCUGCAAUUUCUGUGAGUUAGCAUCACCUUAUUUUCAUCAUCUGAUACACUGCUUACCUCAUAAUUCUGUCUUUCCCCACAGACCUGUGAAUUAUCCAGGUUUUUUAUUAUGUGUGAGUUUCCAGAAGGAUCUGAAAAUCUUAAAUGUGCUUUCAUCUUCUCCCAUACUAGCUAAAAGAUAUUUUACUCCAUGUAGUGGGGCAGCUUCCCCACUCCUGAAGAACAGGGGUUAAAAGCAGCCCUGGAGAGGGCUGCACCUGUGAAAGGCUAGCCUGAUUGGGGAAGCAGCCACAGGUGUGCCCAGCCCAAUCAGGCCACAGCUGGCCCUAUAAAAGGCUGUGAGCCUAGAGCUGAGAGGAGUCUCUCUCCAGCCCUAGAGUGGGAAGGGCUAGCUGCCUGAGAGCAAGAUACCUGAAGCAGAACAGAGCUAGGGAAAAGGGAGCUGGGGAGCUCCAGCCCAGAAAACCCCCAGGCUGCAGGCCCUGGUGAAGGCCUGCAGAGGUACUGGGGCUACAGAGGUGCAGCCUGGGGAUAGGCAAAGGCAGCAGGUCCUAACCCCUUGCCAAUGAUGAGUGGCCAUUACAGACUACAGUCUGCCCCAGUGAGCAGGGGCUAGAUGAUGACUGGCAGUAGCCACUGAGGCAAGGUGGGUCUAGAGGGUUAGGGGUUCCUCAAGGAGGGGAGACCCAGAGUGUGGGGGUACUGCAGGGGCAGAACUUUGAGGUAAAGAGGCACCAGGGACAAGGAGGAACAUGGGGCCAGCAGCAGGCAAGACACCGGCCUACAGAGGGCGCUCUGUAUGCUGAAAAAGAGCUAAUUUCCAGACGACCAGCAGGAGGCACCGUGCUUGUGAGGCUUCCCUUCGCUACACUCCAGGUUUGCAAGAGGUUGUCUACAGAGCGUGAAAGACUUAAUUUCUAGCAUUACUGAUAACGGUGAUUAAAAGUAAAUAAAGUAAGCCUCCUCCAUGGACCAUUUCUUCUCAUACUUACUGAUCAGAAGUUAGAUCUAAAGUCAUCAAUCAGCAAAGUUCCAAAAUCAUCUGUUAAGAAAUCUGUUCAAAACUGAAUGUAUUACUUAGGCCUUGUCAACACUUAAAAGUUGUAAAUACUGUAAUGCUUAGUGAAGACACUACCUAGGCCUACCUGAGAACUACUCCCAUCAGCAGCAGUAGCUAUGCUGACAGAAGCCCUUCUGUCAACAUAGCGCUAUCUACACCUGAGGUUAGGUUUGUAUAGCUAUGUUGGUCAGGGGUGUGGAUUUUCCAUACCCCUGAGUGAUGUAGUUACAGCAACAUAAGUUGGUAGUGUAGAUGAAGCCUAAGACUUCUAUUUCACUAAUUUAUAAAGUUUUAGAAGGGCAUUAAAACAGCUGCGCAGUAUAUGUAAGCCCUUUAUGAUAUUUGAAGAAAAGUUUCCAGAAAACUACUCUAUUUCCUUCAGGGAUAAGGAAAAUUCAAAUGACACUACCAUACCAGGUCAAAUGUAUUCCUGAUAUAACUAGGGAUAAGUCCAAUGAAGUAAAUGGACCUGUACUUGGGUUAACUAGGGCUGAAUUUGGACAUACUUGCCACCCACAUGGAGUAUAUGCUUUUUCUGUUGAACUAUCAGAGACCUUCUUGCUGACCUGACUUACCCAGAACUUCAAAGUGCUACAAAACCAAUGAGACUAAUCUGUGUAAAAAAAACCUUUCCCCUAACUCAAAAGAUUCUGAUAGAAGAACGCUUCAGCCUUAUGUGGAAGACCAGAUUAAAGUAGUUUCCUUCUGCCUACAACUUGCGUCUGGAAUUCAAUACUAAAGUGACCCACCCCAGACAAGCGCCUCUUGCUUUUGCUCUAUAUAUCCAGCAUUCUAAACAUUUUAAAGUUUCAGAUUAUUUUUGUACUCAGAUACCCUUAUAGCUGAAGGGCUUUCUGGCCCUUUAGGAUCCAGUUCAGUGGGAGAGACAUUAAAUACAGAACUCCUUCAAAAGGGAGAAUUUUAUUUCAAGAUGAAUCCACUAUCUCCAAAGGAGAAUUAUAUCACCCCUUGGGCCCUUGUUUGGAAUGAUUCAAUCCCUUACAGUGUAUUUAUUACUACCCUACUGCAGCAUAAUCUCCUAAUACAAAUAUCCAACUGCACACCAAAAAUGGUUAUCAAAGGCUUGUGUGAAAAUUAUAAUACAGGGGAGAAUUCCCCCUAGCUCCUCAAAAAAAAUCAGUCUUCAAUUGUUUAAAAUACAAGAAGUGAUUAAUGCACUUAAUGGACUCUUCAUCACCAAGACUUACUUCAAACUGAUACAUGCAGUGCAUUAAAAAAGUAAAUUUAAAAGCCAUUUCUAAAUAUUAUACAAGUAAAUUAGUAUUUAAGGAAAAAAUUAAAUUCCAUCAAGAAGCUGCAUGAUAUUGGUCACAAAAUAUUCUUUAAAAAUCCUUUAUGGAUCAAGGUAACAGACAAAAUUUAGAAUUAAUUUGCUAUUGUAUGUACAAUGCCUGACAAAGGAAUCUAUAAAUAUGAUACAAAGCUCCUCACCAAGACCCCAGGGUAUUCGAGUCUUAUGUAGUUAGUGGAUAAAGAUCUUACUGUUGGAAAAGCCCACAACAGAUGUGAUUUUGAUCAGAGUCCUGUGACGUGAAGCCCUAAAUUUAUAAAGGGCCCUUCCAACUCCAAUAAUUGACCAAUGGUCAGCCCUCACGUGGUGUUAAGAAGCAGGGAUGUUGGGAGCCAUGUAAACUUCCCUACGUCAGUGUUCAGCUUCUGAAAUAUCCGCAGAGAUGCCUACAAAUGGAAUGUGUGUCCUGAGCAGCAGAAAUUGGAUUUUGGUCCCCACCCCAUUACCAGCUGUGCUCAGGAAUUUGAAGAACUCAGUUCCCUAGUCUUUUGUAUUUUUCCCCAUGAACCUCCUCAUGGGAAGCAUGAAAACAGAUUUAUACAAUCAAUUUCAAAUUCAGAAAAAAAGAGCUUAAACUACAGUUAGUUUUGUAACGCAGUAGGGGCAUUUAGUGUAUUUCUAUUGAAAACAAACUUUGAAAAAGUUCUUUAGUGUAAAGCAAAUUUUACACAACAAUGGUACAAAUGACAAUACAACGUAAUCUCAUUUUAUAGCAGCCUAUCAACAGGAUUACAUUUUUCAUGUUUUAUACGUAAGAACUGUAUUAAUUCUUGUGCUGGUACACAGUAUCUUUUGCCCCCACACUUGCUGUUGGCAAGUGAACAGUUCCCAGUGCCAAAGCAUUAAGUUCAGACACCUGACAACAUAAAUUUAACUAUAUGGGAACUAGAAACUUCAAAAACUAGGUGGUCUUUAAUCCAAAAAGCUCUGACAAGCUAACCAGAGCAUUCUACAUGCUGCUAUUUCCAAAGCUUAAAGCUAAGGCCUUCUGAACCCAGAACAUCUUAUACACCAGUCAUAACUACAGCACCUUAAAACAGAUUCAAUUAUCAGGGAAUUCACUUUCUAACUCCAAAGGCCAUGUCUACACUAGCGAACUUACAGCAGCACAGCUGUACUGAUGCAACUGCGCCGCUGUAAAAAUCGCUCACGUAGCCACUCUAUGCCAACGGGGGAGAACUCUCUCGUCAACAUAAUAAAGCCACUUCCACGAGCGACGGAACCUACGUUGGUGGGAGAAGCUCUCUUGCCAACAUAGCACUGUCCACACCAGCACGUCUGUCAUCAAAACUUACAUCAUUCAGGGGUGUGUUUUAUAUAAAUUUAAAUAAAUUAUACUAACACAAGUGGUAGCAUAGACAAGCCCUAGGAUAGCUAAUCAAGGCUUCAAGACUAUGAGUAGGAAGGAAUCCAUCCUGUUUCCCCCACCCAUUCUCCAAAAAUAUAUACACCAAUGUCUUUUGUUUCUAGAUCUCCUUUUCCUGAUCUGAGUUUUGUAUUUUCACUAUUGCCAUUUUUUCAAUACACUGAGAGAUAAUUAACAGAUUACUUAUCACAAGUUUGUAUGUUGCUGAAGUUGUGUACCCAUGUAGAAAGCAGAGAAUGGUAGCAAGGAGUCACAACAAGUAUCCUUUACUGGCUCUGCAAUCUAAGGGUCUAUGGAGGUUUAUGAAUGGCCUCCAAAAGUCUCAUAUAACCUUUACACCCCUUCCUCCCCAGCAAAUUAAUUGCAAUAAGAUAACAAACCACUUUUUUUUUAAGCUUCUUUUAAUAUAAUUUAACAGCUGGAAAGGAGGAGUUAGCAUCAUGUGACCAGUCAGCUCUUUGCCAAUAAGUGCUCCAUGGACCACAAUUUGAGAACUAUUUUAAUGUUGGUAAGCAACAGCAUUUAAAAAAUUUAUUUCUGAAACCACAUGAUAUUGGAUCGACUCCAAGUUGCCAGCUAAUACAAAAAGGUCUGUCUUGUUCCUGGGGGUAAUAGGCAAAUUCCUCUAUGAUUUUCAUUACCAAUGAAAGAGGCAUCAGAAAUCAAGUAAAAGUUUGGUUUGCUGGAUGUAUGCUUGUCUUUAACAUUUCGAGCAGGAAAGUUAUUCAGAAAGAUUAUUAUUGAAAUGUGGGGCAGAAAGUAAAAGGGGUCAAAA